GGUUCCAUAGCUCAACUGGAUAGAGCAUCUGCCUUCUAAGCAGACGGUUGCAGGUUCGAGUCCUGCUGGAAUCACAA
rnacentral:tRNA from 1 species